rnacentral:rRNA from 1 species
CCUACGGGUGGCAGCAGUGGGGAAUAUUGGACAAUGGGCGAAAGCCUUAUCCAGCCAUGCCGCGUGUGUGAAGAAGGCCUUCGGGUUGUAAAGCACUUUCAGUGGGGAAGAAAGCCUUGGGGCUAAUACCCUCGAGGAAGGACAUCACCCACAGAAGAAGCACCGGCUAACUCCGUGCCAGCAGCCGCGGUAAUACGGAGGGUGCGAGCGUUAAUCGGAAUUACUGGGCGUAAAGCGCGCGUAGGCGGUCUGAUAAGCCGGUUGUGAAAGCCCCGGGCUCAACCUGGGAACGGCAUCCGGAACUGUCAGGCUAGAGUGCAGGAGAGGAAGGUAGAAUUCCCGGUGUAGCGGUGAAAUGCGUAGAGAUCGGGAGGAAUACCAGUGGCGAAGGCGGCCUUCUGGACUGACACUGACGCUGAGGUGCGAAAGCGUGGGUAGCAAACAGGAUUAGAUACCCCAGUAGUC